CAGUAGCCACGGUAAUACAGAGGGUGCAAGCGUUAAUCGGAUUUACUGGGCGUAAAGCGUGCGUAGGCGGCUUUUUAAGUCGGAUGUGAAAUCCCUGAGCUUAACUUAGGAAUUGCAUUCGAUACUGGGAAGCUAGAGUAUGGGAGAGGAUGGUAGAAUUCCAGGUGUAGCGGUGAAAUGCGUAGAGAUCUGGAGGAAUACCGAUGGCGAAGGCAGCCAUCUGGCCUAAUACUGACGCUGAGGUACGAAAGCAUGGGGAGCAAACAGGAUUAGAUACCCGGGUAGUCCCUGUCUCUUAUAC
rnacentral:rRNA from 1 species